rnacentral:rRNA from 1 species
GUGCCAGCCGCCGCGGUAAUACGUAGGAGGCGAGCGUUGUCCGGAUUUACUGGGCGUAAAGCGCGCGCAGGCGGCACGCCAAGUACGUCGUGAAAUCUCCCUGCCUAACGGGGAGGGUGCGAUGUAAACUGGCGAGCUAGAGGACGGUAGAGGGGGGUAGAAUUGCUGGUGUAGCGGUGAAAUGCGUAGAGAUCAGCAGGAAUACCCGUGGCGAAGGCGGCCCCCUGGGCCGAACCUGACGCUGAGGCGCGAAGGCUAGGGGAGCGAACGGGAUUAGAUACCCGAGUAGUCC